rnacentral:rRNA from 1 species
UUCUGGUUGAUCCUGCCAGAGGCGACCGCUUUUGGAGUUCGAUUAAGCCAUGCGAGUAGAAUGAAUUAGAUCAUUGCAAACUGCUCAGUAACACGUGGAUAACCUGCCCUAUGCUCUGGGAUAACCUCGGGAAACUGAGAAGAAUACCGGAUAGACCACAACGCCUGGAACGGUGUGUGGUUGAAAGGUCACGGCAUAGGAUGGGUCUGCGGCGUAUCAGGUCGUAGGGGGUGUAACGGACCUCCUAGCCAUCGACGCGUACGGGUUGUGGGAGCAAUAGCCCGGAGAUGGAUUCUGAGACACGAAUCCAGACCCUACGGGGUGCAGCAGGCGCGAAAACUUCACACUGCAGGAAACUGUGAUGAGGGAACUCCAAGUGACUGCACAUUGUGUAGCCUUUUCUUUACUAUUAAUCGGUAUUGGAAUAAGGGCUGGGAAAGACCGGUGCCAGCCGCCGCGGUAAUACCGGCAGCUCAAGUGGUCGUCGCUUUUAUUGGGCCUAAAACGUCCGUAGCCUGUUUGGUAAAUCUGUGGGUAAAUCAACCAGCUUAACUGGUUGAAUUCUGCAGAGACUGCCAGACUAGGGACCGGGAGAGGUGUGGGGUACUCUAGGGGUAGGGGUAAAAUCCUGUCAUCCUUAGAGGACCACCAGUUGCGAAGGCGCCACACUGGAACGGAUCCGACGGUCAGGGACGAAGCCUAGGG